UACGUAGGGUGCAAGCGUUAAUCGGAAUUACUGGGCGUAAAGCGUGCGCAGGCGGCUAUGCAAGACAGAUGUGAAAUCCCCGGGCUCAACCUGGGAACUGCAUUUGUGACUGCAUAGCUAGAGUACGGUAGAGGGGGAUGGAAUUCCGCGUGUAGCAGUGAAAUGCGUAGAUAUCAGGAGGAACACCGGUGGCGAAGGCGGGAUCCUGGGCCAGUACUGACGCUGAGGAGCGAAAGCGUGGGGAGCAAACAGG
rnacentral:rRNA from 1 species